UACGAAGGGGGCUAGCGUUGCUCGGAAUCACUGGGCGUAAAGCGCGUGUAGGCGGCCAGGUAGGUCGGAUGUGAAAUCUGGAGGCUCAACCUCCAGCUGUCAUCCGAAACCAUCUGGCUAGAGUCCGGAAGAGGAGAGUGGAAUUCCUGGUGUAGCGGUGAAAUGCGCAGAUAUCAGGAGGAACACCUAUGGCGAAGGCAGCUCGCUGGGACGGCACUGACGCUGAGACGCGAAAGCGUGGGGAGCAAACAGG
rnacentral:rRNA from 1 species